AUCAGUUAUAUGACACUAACAAUCAGUUGAAGUACUUGGGAUAGAGAGCCGUCAUUUUUUUUAUAGACGUGACUGCAACUAUGUCAUUUUCAAGAAGAAUUUCGUCAAUUACUUAAGGGGAUUUUAAACCAGAUCUGAGCGAUUUGAGAUGGAACGAAACUUUGAGUGGCCAGAAGAGUGGCUAUCAUUGAGGAUAUCAUUGUUUAGUUGUUACUAUGAUAAUGAUCGUGAUAGAACAGCAAGAAAGACUGUGAGAUUUACGAUAAUUGCUGCCCACCAUGUCAGUCAGUUCAUCAGGCCACUGUCAAGUACCUUCCGUUGCCCCAAGGGCAGAUCUUCCCAUGGGGUUCAGUUCUAUAGUAUUUUAUCUAAUUCUAAAGUGGACUGUAACUUAGAUACUGACAUAUUUUGGCACUGGAAUGUGAAGUUGGCAAUGUGUUGCUUUCUUUCUUUCGCAGGAUAUUUCAUUUAAUUGUACGUCAUGAUGAUUCCAAAUGCAUCAUAUCCUUCAUUGCCUUUUAGAGGGUUUUUCGUACGAGUGCAAGAAAAAUGGAACUGCAGUGCACGGUACUUAGGUAGCUCUGUAUGUGAUGGUUGGGAGAUACCCCUCAUUUAUGCCUGUUGUCCCACAUACAAAGCUAAGCUCGACGCAACUAGCAUACGUAGUCACAAUUAGGGUAAAAAAAACCCGUACAGCUAUGCAAAAGAAGUGAAUUUCGGCUGGAAUGGAUUCUAAGACCGACACUAUAAAGAUGUUACACAAAUAUUGUGAAUACUUGUUUAUUAUCUAGUGAAGUAUGAUCUUUCUUUGUAAUGUCUUCUUUCAGAUAAAUAUCGAUAUCUAGCCUUUUAUUGUUGUUAUACCAUUGUCUGUCCUAAUCCUUUGAUAGAUUGAAGAGUGAAAGGUGCUUGACUUAAUAAUGACCGGAAGGAAUCUUUGAAUCUUGGCCAAAUUUAUUGAUUAGCAAUGUCAGUCAAAUGUUUAAUCCAAGCUUGCAGCAUACGUUUGUCAAAAUAAAGUUUGUCUUUGUUCCCAGUGAA